rnacentral:rRNA from 1 species
UCGAACGGGGCAAUCUUGUAGCAAUACCGGGUUGUUCAGUGGCGAACGGGUGCGUAACACGUGGAUUACAUACCGGAAAGCGAGGAAUAGCCCAGGGAAACUUGGAUUAAUACCUCAUGUGGUCGCAAGACUAAAGGCGGGGCAACCUGUCGCUUUCUGAUUGGUCCGCGGCCUAUCAGCUAGUUGGCGGGGUAACGGCCCACCAAGGCGACGACGGGUAGCUGGUCUGAGAGGAUGACCAGCCACACUGGAACUGAGACACGGUCCAGACACCUACGGGUGGCAGCAGUCGAGAAUCAUUCACAAUGGGGGCAACCCUGAUGGUGCGACGCCGCGUGGAGGAUAAGGUCUUCGGAUUGUAAACUCCUGUCAUGCGAGAGCAAGAUUUGAGCGGGUAACUCCGCUGGAUUUGAUAGUAUCGCAAGAGGAAGAGACGGCUAACUCUGUGCCAGCAGCCGCGGUAAUACAGAGGUCUCAAGCGUUGUUCGGAAUCACUGGGCGUAAAGGGUGCGUAGGUGGCGUGGAAAGUCAGAUGUGAAAUCCGGGGGCUCAACCUCCGAAUAGCAUCCGAUACUCCCAUGCUAGAGAACUGGAGGGGGAUCUGGAAUUCUCGGUGUAGCAGUGAAAUGCGUAGAUAUCGAGAGGAACACUAGUGGCGAAGGCGAGAUCCUGGACAGUAUCUGACACUGAUGCACGAAGGUCAGGGGAGCAAACGGGAUUAGAUACCCCGGUAGUCCUGACAGUAAACGGUGCACGUUUGGUGUGGGAGGAUUCGACCCCUUCUGUGCCGGAGCUAACGCGUUAAACGUGCCGCCUGAGAAGUACGGUCGCAAGAUUAAAACUCAAAGAAAUUGACGGGGACCCGCACAAGCGGUGGAGUAUGUGGCUUAAUUCGAUGCAACGCGAAGAACCUUACCUG